CCCUUAGAUGUUCUGGGCCGCACGCGUGCUACACUGAUGCAUUCAACGAGUCUAAAACCUGGUCUGAUAGGGCUGGGUAAUCUUUUGAAAGUGCAUCGUGAUUGGGAUAGAUGAUUGCAAUUCUUCAUCUUCAACGAGGAAUGCCUAGUAAACGCAAGUCAUCAGCUUGCAUUGAUUACGUCCCUGCCCUUUGUACACACCGCCCGUCGCUACGACCGACUGUUUCUGUCAAUGAAGCUGUAGGAUUCGGCCCUGGCCGGGGCGCAAGCCCUGGCUACGUGGUUGGAGAUCAUAGUUUAGUUGAUACGAAAUACAGGACGUAAAAGUCGUAACA
rnacentral:rRNA from 1 species